GGGAGGAGCAAACAGCAUGAGCCAGAGUUAGUCUGGAGUUAUAGGGGACCAGAGCUCGCGAUUCCUGCAGGUUUCUGUAGUCAGUUUGGUGAUUUGCUAAGUUUCACCGAAGAGCACAUUUGAUGCGAGAACGACCGCGACUCUUCUCUGGGGAGUCCAAAAGGACAAAGGGGGAUGGGGGAGGUGAACAAACCGUCCUCUCCUUCUUGUUUAUCCUCCUCCUGGUUCCACGUGUGUUGAGCUCCUCGACAUUGUAUUACAUAAACAAGCCGAGGAAAAGGAGAAGAAAGAGACAAUGGGUGGUGUGUGCAUCUGUGUGUGUCCCUGCUUUUGGUUGCAUUGUGGGGACACCACCUACAGUGCGAUGUCCACCAACGUCCUGAGUGUCACCCUUCACAAACUGAAAGGCUCCCAGCAGCAGUCUGGAGACAACCUGGUGUGUCAUGGAGCAGACGGACGCGUCCUGGGUGGCUCUUGUUUCUUUGUGGGCAUGCCUCCAGAAAAGCCAGUCAUUUUAACAUGCUGGUCCUGCAACAUGAAGCGCCUGAGCGCCCCACCCCUGCUGCAGCUCAGGUGGUACAGGGAAGAGAAGGCGUGUGAAAUGUACAGCACCAUGAAGCAGUGUUACGUCUGCUAUAUCCCUCGCAACCUCGCCCUCUUCACUUCCUAUGAGAUCUAGGUGGAGGCAACCAAUCAGCUGGGCUCUGCCACCUCUGACAUCACCACCCUGGACGUCCUUGAUGUGGUUGAUGACCACAGACCCUCCUGCCAAUGUGCAGGUGAAUCGUGUCGGUGACCUCGACGACCAGCUGUUGGUCUGUUGGGCCAGCUCCCGCGAGCUGAAGGACAUCCUGUUUCAGGCCAAAUAUCAGAUCCACUGGACUGGAGGACAGCGCUGAAUGGUAGAUUGUCCACACUGAAACACACACAUGUUCUC